rnacentral:rRNA from 2 species
UCAGCGGCGGACGGGUGAGUAACACGUGGGCAACCUGCCUGUAAGACUGGGAUAACUCCGGGAAACCGGGGCUAAUACCGGAUAAUUCUUUCCCUCACAUGAGGGAAAGCUGAAAGAUGGUUUCGGCUAUCACUUACAGAUGGGCCCGCGGCGCAUUAGCUAGUUGGUGAGGUAACGGCUCACCAAGGCGACGAUGCGUAGCCGACCUGAGAGGGUGAUCGGCCACACUGGGACUGAGACACGGCCCAGACUCCUACGGGAGGCAGCAGUAGGGAAUCUUCCGCAAUGGACGAAAGUCUGACGGAGCAACGCCGCGUGAGUGAUGAAGGUUUUCGGAUCGUAAAACUCUGUUGUUAGGGAAGAACAAGUACCGGAGUAACUGCCGGUACCUUGACGGUACCUAACCAGAAAGCCACGGCUAACUACGUGCCAGCAGCCGCGGUAAUACGUAGGUGGCAAGCGUUGUCCGGAAUUAUUGGGCGUAAAGCGCGCGCAGGCGGUUCCUUAAGUCUGAUGUGAAAGCCCCCGGCUCAACCGGGGAGGGUCAUUGGAAACUGGGGAACUUGAGUGCA